rnacentral:rRNA from 1 species
AGUGAACGCUGGCGGUAGGCCUAACACAUGCAAGUCGAACGGCAGCACAGUAAGAGCUUGCUCUUACGGGUGGCGAGUGGCGGACGGGUGAGGAAUACAUCGGAAUCUACUUUUUCGUGGGGGAUAACGUAGGGAAACUUACGCUAAUACCGCAUACGACCUACGGGUGAAAGCAGGGGAUCUUCGGACCUUGCGCGAUUGAAUGAGCCGAUGUCGGAUUAGCUAGUUGGCGGGGUAAAGGCCCACCAAGGCGACGAUCCGUAGCUGGUCUGAGAGGAUGAUCAGCCACACUGGAACUGAGACACGGUCCAGACUCCUACGGGAGGCAGCAGUGGGGAAUAUUGGACAAUGGGCGAAAGCCUGAUCCAGCCAUACCGCGUGGGUGAAGAAGGCCUUCGGGUUGUAAAGCCAUUUUGUUGGGAAAGAAAAGCAGCAGGUUAAUACGCCGCUGUUCUGACGGUACCCAAAGAAUAAGCACCGGCUAACUUCGUG